rnacentral:rRNA from 1 species
CGGGUGGCAGCAGCAGUGGGGAAUUUUGGACAAUGGGCGCAAGCCUGAUCCAGCCAUUCCGCGUGAGUGAAGAAGGCCUUCGGGUUGUAAAGCUCUUUCGCAAGGGAAGAAAACUUAUCCUCUAACAUAGGGUGAGGUUGACGGUACCUUGAUAAGAAGCACCGGCUAACUACGUGCCAGCAGCCGCGGUAAUACGUAGGGUGCGAGCGUUAAUCGGAAUUACUGUGCGUAAAGCGUGCGCAGGCUGUUUUGUGAGUCAGAUGUGAAAUCCCCGAGCUCAACUUGGGAACUGCGUUUGAAACUACAAGACUAGAAUAUGUCAGAGGGGGGUAGAAUUCCAUGUGUAGCAGUGAAAUGCGUAGAGAUGUGGAGGAAUACCAAUGGCGAAGGCAGCCCCCUGGGAUAAUAUUGACGCUCAUGCACGAAAGCGUGGGGAGCAAACAGGAUUAGAUACCCUCGUAGUC